GUGCCGCAGCCGCGGUAAAACCAGCACCUCAAGUGGUCAGGAUGAUUAUUGGGCCUAAAGCAUCCGUAGCCGGCUCUGUAAGUUUUCGGUUAAAUCUGUACGCUCAACGUACAGGCUGCCGGGAAUACUGCAAAGCUAGGGAGUGGGAGAAGUAGACGGUACUCGGUAGGAAGUGGUAAAAUGCUUUGAUCUAUCGAUGACCACCUGUGGCGAAGGCGGCCUACUAGAACACGUCCGACGGUGAGGGAUGAAAGCUGGGGAGCAAACCGGAUUAGAUA
rnacentral:rRNA from 1 species